UGUCCGAUUCGUAUGAUUUUUUUUGUAU
rnacentral:sRNA from 1 species